rnacentral:rRNA from 1 species
UACGGGGGGGGCAAGCGUUGUUCGGAAUUACUGGGCGUAAAGGGUCUGUAGGUGGCCAACUAAGUCAGACGUGAAAUCCCUCAGCUUAACUGGGGAACUGCGUCUGAUACUGGUUGGCUUGAGUGCAGGAGAGGAAUGCGGAAUUCCAGGUGUAGCGGUGAAAUUCGUAGAUAUCGAGAGGAACACCGGUGGCGAAGGCGGCCAACUGGACGAAUACUGACGCUGAGACUCGAAAGCGUGGGGAGCAAACAGG